rnacentral:rRNA from 1 species
GAUGAACGCUAGCGGCAGGCUUAAUACAUGCAAGUCAAGGGGGUAGCAAUACAACCGGCGCACGGGUGAGUAACGCGUACACAACAUACCAUAUACUGGGGUAUAGCUUCGGGAAACUGAAGGUAAUCCCCCAUAAUAUUGCGGGAAGGCAUCUUUCUGCAAUUAAAGUUUCGACGGUAUAUGAUUGGUGUGCGUUUGAUUAGCUAGUUGGUAGGGUAACGGCCUACCAAGGCGACGAUCAAUAGCUGGCGUGAGAGCGCGACCAGCCACACUGGAACUGAGACACGGUCCAGACUCCUACGGGAGGCAGCAGUAGGGAAUAUUGGACAAUGGGCGAAAGCCUGAUCCAGCCAUGCCGCGUGAUAGAUGAAGGCCCUCUGGGUUGUAAAGCUCUUUCAGCAGGAACGAAACGGUGAGGGUUAAUACCCUUUACUAAUGACGGUACCUGAAGAAGAAGCACCGGCUAACUACGUGCCAGCAGCCGCGGUAAUGUCAGUG